UAUUCAUAAUAGGUAUUGUACAUAUAUAUAGUUAAACAUAGUUAACGGUAAUAAUACAAAUAGGGAAAUAUCAUCAAGACAUUAUAUGGUAAUUAUGUGAUUUGAUUCCAUGGAUUAAUGCUAUGCAUUCAUUGAGAUUUUCCUCCAACGGUUGCUUUGACUUUGCUGACUUGGAUUGCAUAAUUAGUGGAGCUUUAUUAUCCUUUACAU
rnacentral:lncRNA from 1 species